UGCGUAGGCCGCACGGAAAGUCAGAGGUGAAAUCCCGGAGCUCAACUUCGGAAUUGCCUCCGAUACUCCCGUGCUUGAGGACUGGAGAGGAGUCUGGAAUUCACAGUGGAGCAGUGAAAUGCGUAGAUAUUGUGAGGAACACUAGUGGCGAAGGCGAGACUCUGGACAGUUCCUGACGCUGAGGCACGAAGGCCAGGGGAGCAAACG
rnacentral:rRNA from 1 species